AAGAAAGUGACAGAGUGGUCAUGUGACUGGCUUGAAACCGGUAGAUGGGGGUUCAAUUCCUUCCUUUCUUG
rnacentral:tRNA from 1 species